CACGUAGGGCGCAAGCGUUGUCCGGAAUUAUUGGGCGUAAAGAGCUCGUAGGCGGUCCGUCACGUCCGCUGUGAAAACCCAGGGCUCAACCCUGGGCUUGCAGUGGAUACGGGCAGACUAGAGGUAGGUAGGGGAGAAUGGAAUUCCCGGUGUAGCGGUGAAAUGCGCAGAUAUCGGGAGGAACACCGGUGGCGAAGGCGGUUCUCUGGGCCUUACCUGACGCUGAGGAGCGAAAGCGUGGGUAGCAAACAGG
rnacentral:rRNA from 1 species